rnacentral:lncRNA from 1 species
AUGCGCUGGGUCGCUGAACCACCGGCUUGUGUUGAUAUUGUGUCCAGAAUUGGUGGGUUCUUGGUCUCACUGACUUCAAGAAUGAAGCUGUGGACCCUCACGGAAGAAGUAAACCAAGAAAGAUGAAGAUGUGGAAUGCGGAAAAUAGGAGACACAACACAAGAGAGAGAGAAAUUCUUAAAAGUGUAGUGAUGGAAAAUCCUAGGAUGAGAAAAUUGAAUCAGGCCUAGAGGGCAACCAGUCAAGACAGUUGCAGGGAAGCAGCUUACAAGAGAGUGUUCUUCAAGAGUCUCACUCUUGUCACCAGGCUGGAGUGCAUUGGCGCGAUCUUGGCUCACUGCAUCCUCUGCCUCCCGGGUUCAAGCGAUUCUCCUGCCUCAGCCUCCCGAGUAGCUGGAACUACAGGUGCUGGACAAAGAUCAGACCAGAUGUGAGGAAUGCUGAAAAUGAAAGUCUCUUCUGAUAUGUUCACCAAAGAAAGCGAUCCCUUAGCCCAGAUCUUGGCAAGAACCAGUGUCAAAGGGAUGUUCAUCCAGUAAUCCUGAAUUGUUGGACACCCAAGAAGAGAAUCAAGAUGAAAAUCUGUGCAGUUCUGUGAGAUUUCUGUAGUACUUUGUUCUGCUUACACUUCAAAAGCAAGCUAGACUUUCAACUUAGUAUAGCAUUGUCAUUUCCACUGAUGUAUUUCCUGAGUAUAGAUACCAACUCUCCUGAUUUCCUCAGGACUAAAGGAGUUUCUGGGACAAGAAAAUUAUAGUUUUAAAAACAGGACAGCCCCAGCAAACUGGGACAAGUUGGUCACACUAUGCAUGAGGAUGUGUAUAUAUGCA